ACUGACCAAAACUGCUGCCCAGAUUACCUCACCUGGCUUGAUGCUCAACCCGCGAAUUCUGUGUUGUAUAUUUCUCAGGGAAGCUUUCUCUCACUUUCGGCUGGGC